rnacentral:sRNA from 1 species
AAGAAGCUACUUUGUGCGUAUUGUUAAUUAAGUUUUAACCUUUAAGCUGUAAUAGGGAGUUUUAUAUCGAAGCCGGAAUGUCAUGCCUCCAUUGCAGAGGACGACAGGAACGUUUCUGCAAACACCCACUU